AUUGAACGCUGGCGGCAUGCCUUACACAUGCAAGUCGAACGGCAGCACGGGUGCUUGCACCUGGUGGCGAGUGGCGAACGGGUGAGUAAUACAUCGGAACGUACCUUAUCGUGGGGGAUAACGCAGCGAAAGCUGUGCUAAUACCGCAUACGCCCUGAGGGGGAAAGCGGGGGAUCGAAAGACCUCGCGCGAUUAGAGCGGCCGAUGCCUGAUUAGCUUGUUGGUGGGGUAAAAGCCCACCAAGGCGACGAUCAGUAGCUGGUCUGAGAGGACGAUCAGCCACACUGGGACUGAGACACGGCCCAGACUCCUACGGGAGGCAGCAGUGGGGAAUUUUGGACAAGGGGGGCAACCCUGAUCCAGCAAUGCCGCGUGAGUGAAGAAGGCCUUCGGGUUGUAAAGCUCUGUUGUCAGGGAAGAAACACCGGCUCUAACACAGUCCGGGAAUGACGGUACCUGAAGAAUAAGCACCGGCUAACUACGUGCCAGCCGCCGCAGUAA
rnacentral:rRNA from 1 species